CUGCCGCAUGGUGGGGGUUGGAAAGUUUUUCGGUGCAGGAUGAGCCCGCGGCCUAUCAGCUUGUUGGUGGGGUAAUGGCCUACCAAGGCGACGACGGGUAGCCGGCCUGAGAGGGUGAUCGGCCACACUGGGACUGAGACACGGCCCAGACUCCUACGGGAGGCAGCAGUGGGGAAUAUUGCACAAUGGGCGGAAGCCUGAUGCAGCGACGCCGCGUGGGGGAUGACGGUCUUCGGAUUGUAAACCCCUUUCAGUAGGGACGAAGCGCAAGUGACGGUACCUGCAGAAGAAGCACCGGCCAACUACGUGCCAGCAGCCGCGGUAAUACGUAGGGUGCGAGCGUUGUCCGGAAUUACUGGGCGUAAAGAGCUCGUAGGCGGUUUGUCGCGUCGUCUGUGAAAUCCUCCAGCUUAACUGGGGGCGUGCAGGCGAUACGGGCAGACUUGAGUACUACAGGGGAGACUGGAAUUCCUGGUGUAGCGGUGAAAUGCGCAGAUAUCAGGAGGAACACCGGUGGCGAAGGCGGGUCUCUGGGUAGUAACUGACGCUGAGGAGCGAAAGCAUGGGUAGCGAACAGGAUUAGAUACCCUGGUAGUCCAUGCCGUAAACGGUGGGCRCUAGGUGUGGGGGUCUUCCACGACUUCCGUGCCGUAGCUAACCGC
rnacentral:rRNA from 1 species